rnacentral:rRNA from 1 species
UACGAAGGGGGCUAGCGUUGCUCGGAAUUACUGGGCGUAAAGCGCACGUAGGCGGCUUCUUAAGUCGGUGGUGAAAUCCUGGAGCUCAACUCCAGAAUUGCCUUCGAUACUGGGAGACUUGAGUUCGGAAGAGGUUGGUGGAACUGCGAGUGUAGAGGUGAAAUUCGUAGAUAUUCGCAAGAACACCGGUGGCGAAGGCGGCCAACUGGUCCGACACUGACGCUGAGGCGCGAAAGCGUGGGGAGCAAACAGG